AAUCAACGCUGGCGGCGUGCCUAACACAUGCAAGUCGAACGCGAAAGGGGCUUCGGUCCUGAGUAGAGUGGCGUCCGGGUGAGUAACGCGUGGGCAACCUGCCUCUGAGUGGGGGAUAACCCAGGGAAACUUGGGCUAAUACCGCAUAAGGCAGAUUUCUCGAUGAGAAGUCUGUGAAAGGAGCAAUCCGCUUGGAGAGGGGCCUGCGUCUGAUUAGCUAGUUGGCGGGGUGACGGCCCACCAAGGCGACGAUCAGUAGCUGGUCUGAGAGGACGGC
rnacentral:rRNA from 1 species